rnacentral:lncRNA from 1 species
AGGCCAUCGUGCAGGGGCAGGUAAGGCCCAGGGCGACGCUGGGAUGGGUGACGUCAGGCUGCCCACUGACUGUCCUGUCCCUGCUGGGCCGUGUUUGGACUCCUGCCUCGGGCGAGCGUUUGGGGGUCCUCAGAGCCCUCUUCUUUAAGGUCAUCAAGGAUUACCCUUCCAACGAAGACCUUCACGAAAGGCUGGAGGUUUUCAAGGCCCUCACAGACAAUGGGAGACACAUCACCUACUUGGAGGAAGAGCUGGCUGACUUUGUCCUGCAGUGGAUGGAUGUUGGCUUGUCCUCGGAAUUCCUUCUGGUGCUGGUGAACUUGGUCAAAUUCAAUAGCUGUUACCUCGACGAGUACAUCGCAAGGAUGGUUCAG